UUUAGAUGGGCUAUUUUAUUUAAUUAAAUAAAUUAUUAUGUUAAAUUUAAUAGUGGGUUAGGUAAUAAUCAUUAAUUGUUAUAAUUUUAUAUAAAAAUUAAAAAAAUUAAACCGCUAACUGAAUUACUGUUAGAUUUAGUAAAAUUCUUAAGUUAAUUGAAUGGAAUAAUGCAAAUAAAAUAAUUAAAAGUUAAGUAAGUUUAAAAAUAAAAAAAAUAAAGUUA
rnacentral:lncRNA from 1 species